CAGUGAGGAGAGGCCUCUUCUGGAGAAGAACAAACCCGAGGGAGGCCCUGUCAGGACGGUCUCUAUGAACCGAGGCAGGUCAGAUAACGCACACAAGUGCAGCUCCAGCUGAAGGCAUCAUUCUUACUUCAGUCGCUCACGGAGGUCACUCUGUAGACCCACGGGCAGAGUGGCUGCUCUCCAGCCUGUUCAGACAACAAAGUACUCUGCUCACCGAGGCCCCUCUUCCUUCUCCUCCAUUCAGAGUUGGGAUCUGCCUAAUUGGAUUCGAAGGUCGGGCAACCGCCCCCUCGUGUGUCUGGCCCAAGCUGUGGAGCACGCUGAGCUGUGGUGGAUGCUUCUUCACUGCUGGGUUUUGCCACCAGCGCCACUGCCCUGCGUAGGGGACAGCCUGACAAGUCUUAAGCAUUGUAAAAUGAAGUGUGCAUUCUCUGCCUGCAUGUGUGGACUGGCUCAGAAGAGGGCAUUGGAGUCUCUGGAACUGGGCUUACGGACGGACGGCUGCAAACCGUGACGUAGGCGCUUAACACCAAGCCUGGAUCCUCUGCAGGACCAACGAGCACUCCUGACUGAUGAGCCAUCUCUCCAAGCCUGUCAAGAACCUUUUAUUAAAAGCUUGAUUUUCUU
rnacentral:lncRNA from 1 species